AAGCAGAAGAAACCAGUUGGCAAACAUUCUAACCUGGGCUAUUCUUUCAUUUGCAGGGUUUUUGCAGUGCCAGGUGUGGAUUGAGAUUCAGCCUUUGUAAGACUUACUCACUGAAAACAGGAAUUUGCUUGGUUCCAAGAACAAAGUGUGCUUUGUACACUUGCUGGUGCCAUUUGUGGCUGAGAAGAACUUUCUCGGAUUGCUUUGGAAUGAUGAAGAGUGUGUCUCUCAUCCAAGAACUGAAAUGAUACCUUCAGGUGAGUCCAGAGUCCAAAUCCUCAAAGGAGGGAUUUAGGAAAGCAUUCGAGAGGAUCAGGUUUAAACCAAACAAUCCCUUAAGAAGAAAUUCCAUUCAAGUUCUUUCUUUAAAACAGGAAAUUAAACAGAGUCAUUAUAAGGCAAACUCAAGAGAGUGGUAGCACCAUCCCUCCCAACUGUUAGUUGCAUGAAUUUCAUUUUGGGUCAUCUGUGAAUCGAAACUAUUUAAAUUUGACCCUGUUAACCACAGCUCUUUUAAAGUACAACCAUCAGAAUUCUAGGCAAAAUGCAUCCUUUUAGAAGCAUAUAAUAUAUCUGAAGUACAAUUCUUUGCAUAAUUAUCAAGAUUUAAGUCUCCUGCAGUAUUAUUUUAAGUAUUUUAUUAAGUUCAUGGGCCUAUUCCCAAAACUCUUGUAGCAGUGGACAAGGGCAGAUUAUAGAACAUGAAUUCUU
rnacentral:lncRNA from 10 species